rnacentral:rRNA from 1 species
CUGCUGCCUUCCGUAGGAGUUUGGGCCGUGUCUCAGUCCCAAUGUGGCCGGUCACCCUCUCGGGUCGGCUACUGAUCGUUGCCUUGGUGAGCCGUUACCUCUCCAACUAGCUAAUCAGACGCAGGUCCAUCUCAUACCACCUCAGUUUUUCACACCAAACCAUGCGGUUUUGUGCGCUUAUGCGGUAUUAGCAGUCAUUUCUAACUGUUAUCCCCCUGUAUGAGGCAGGUUACCCACGCGUUACUCACCCGUCCG